rnacentral:rRNA from 1 species
GUGGGGAAUAUUGCACAAUGGGGGAAACCCUGAUGCAGCGACGCCGCGUGAGUGAAGAAGUAUUUCGGUAUGUAAAGCUCUAUCAGCAGGGAAGAUAAUGACGGUACCUGAAUAAGAAGCCCCGGCUAACUACGUGCCAGCAGCCGCGGUAAUACGUAGGGGGCAAGCGUUAUCCGGAAUUACUGGGUGUAAAGGGAGCGUAGGCGGCACGUCAAGCCAGAUGUGAAAGCCCGGGGCUUAACCCCGUGGAUUGCAUUUGGAACUGGCGAGCUAGAGUACAGGAGAGGAAAGCGGAAUUCCUAGUGUAGCGGUGAAAUGCGUAGAUAUUAGGAAGAACACCAGUGGCGAAGGCGGCUUUCUGGACUGAAACUGACGCUGAGGCUCGAAAGCGUGGGGAGCAAACAGGAUUAGAUACCCUUGUAGUCC